UACAGAGGUCUCAAGCGUUGUUCGGAUUCAUUGGGCGUAAAGGGUGUGUAGGUGGCGCGCUAAGUCGGGUGUGAAAUUUCGGAGCUUAACUCCGAAACUGCAUUUGAUACUGCGGUGCUUGAGGACUGGAGAGGAGACUGGAAUUCACGGUGUAGCAGUGAAAUGCGUAGAUAUCGUGAGGAAGACCAGUGGCGAAGGCGGGUCUCUGGACAGUUCCUGACACUGAGGCACGAAGGCCAGGGGAGCAAACGGGG
rnacentral:rRNA from 1 species